rfam:Nomascus leucogenys chromosome 12, whole genome shotgun sequence.
GCUGGGUGUGGUGGUGUGCACCUGUGUUCCCAGCUACUUGGGAGGCUGAGGUGGGAGAAUCACCUGAGCUUAGGAAGUCCAGGCUGCAGUGAGCCAUGAUCAUGCCACUGCACUCCAGCCUGGGCAACAAAGUGAGACCCUGUCUCAA